AAAGAAGACAUGAAGGUUUGAGUUGUUCAAGAACAAACCAAGGUUUGCUGUUUGUCACAGUUGCAGAUUCAAAUGCCUUUGGGAUCAAGCAGCUUUAACCAAACUUGAGUAAGAACUCCCUGACUUGGAAACACUCAAGUUUCCCACACAUGACUGGAUGGCCCUGGCCACACUGGGAACGGAAUGGGGGCCUCCCAUUGGAACUCAGGGUGGAGGGGGAAGCUCGACCAGCUAUUGUGGCCCCCACUUCCAUUGACAAACCCUGAGAUGCCAUGUAUGCAGCUCG
rnacentral:lncRNA from 1 species